rnacentral:lncRNA from 1 species
ACUUCUUCUCCCUUUCCCCGUUUCUUCUCUUUUCUCCUAAAUGUUACAUUCUCUGAGUUUUUCUCCCAUAAUCCCCUUUUUCUAUUUUUAUUUUUCAUUCUUAUUAUUUUAUUAACUUAUUAUAUUAUCACUAUUUUUUAAUAAUAAUAAUAAUGAUAAUCCACUCAAUUAACUAAUUAAGUUAAUAUUCAUCUAAUAUUAACUAAUUAAAUUAAAU